UACAGAGGGUGCGAGCGUUAAUCGGAAUUACUGGGCGUAAAGCGCACGUAGGUGGUUGUGUAAGUCGAGUGUGAAAGCCCCGGGCUCAACCUGGGAACUGCAUUCGAGACUGCAUUAUUCGAGUAUGGGAGAGGGCAGUGGAAUUUCCGGUGUAGCGGUGAAAUGCGUAGAUAUCGGAAGGAACAUCAGUGGCGAAAGCGACUGCCUGGCCCAAUACUGACACUCAAGUGCGAAAGCGUGGGGAGCAAACAGG
rnacentral:rRNA from 1 species